GCCCUAUAGCAGUGGUUCUCAACCUUCCUAAUGCCAUGACCCUUUAAUACAGUUCCUCAUGUUGUGGUGACCCCCAAUUUCACUGUUACAAAUUGAACAUAAUUAAAGCAUAGUGAUUAAUCACAAAAACAAUAUGUGAUUAUAUAUGUGUUUUCCGAUGGUCUUAGGCGACCCCUGUGAAAGGGUCGUUCUGCCCCCAAAGGGGUCGCGACCCACAGGUUGAGAACCGCUGGCCUAUAGGGAUAGAGCAGGGACUACAACAGCCCGCAGGACUGUGACUUUGACACCUUGACCUAGGGAGUCAGGCUGGGGCUGCGGGAGGACUAAGAGCCAUGCUGGGGAAGAGAUGGGGAGCGGUGCUCCAGGUAGAGGGAACAGCCCGUGCAAAGGCCUCCAGGUAAGCCCUGAGAGACACUUCCUCCAGAAACAGCUCCCUGCCCCGCGGAGGCCGCGGGUGGCUGGGGAGAGGCUACUGGAGGCCGCUUUGCAGCCUGUGUGUGCACUUCCUUCGAAGGCCCUGGGAGCCACAGGAAAGUCAUGAGCAGAGGAGAGGCAGGGGUGUGUUUGUAAGUCAGAAAAACACCACACACACACACACACACACACACACACACACACUCACACACACACACACACCCAGCCCCGGCUGCCACAUGGAGGCUGCCUGUAGCGAAGCCACAGAAUCACAGAUGGGUUUUGGGGGGAGUGAAGGGGAGACUUGCAUCCAGGUCUUCUGGGCGCUCAGCUCUCGUCCCGCUCUGGAUGGGAGGCCUGGCCCACCGCGACCACUAGGUGGCGCCAGCGCACCGCCACCCAGGCUGGAGCGCGAGGAAGAGGGGUCAGGCUGGGCCACGGGAGCAAGUCCCGCGUGCCCGCGGCCUCUCUGCCCCUUGGUCCUGGCCCCAGCGGAGCUGGGGUUCCAACAAACAGGGGCUCCAGCUCCGGGCUCAGGAAAGAGCUGGCUGGGCUGCAACAGACACGUUCUUCAUCUCUGGUCACCGUGGGAGCUCAGCCUGGAGCAUCUUGCCUCCCCCCUCAGACUGGAAAUCCAAACUAGAGACUUGCUCUCCACCAUGGAGCUGGCACUUCUUAUCUUCUCUAUCCGGCUUGGGAAAUCCUGUCUCCCCCAUUGGACUUGCCUGUCUCCAGAGCUGCUCUCUGACUUCCCAAGGGCAGACCUGGUGUGCUCGCCGGCAGAGCAAGGCCUGAAAUACCUGUUGGCAGAGGGAGCGGACUGUAGGCGUUUAUUUUGAAGAGGAGCGGUGUGGCUUCGUGGCCAGGAGCUCAGACCUGUCUUACUGACCCAGACUCACAUAGCAGCUUUGCAGCCACAGGCUGCUGGUGGAAUGCAAACCAGAGUGGCCACCUCGGCAAACAUUGGCCGGUUUCCCCGGAGGUUAAGCAUACACUCGUCCUGUGACCCAGCGAUUUCAUGCCUGCGUGCUUACCCACGGCCAACGCAGACCUCUGGUCACACAAAAGCCGGUCUGCGCUUGUUGAUCGCAGCUCCCUGCAUAGUUGCCAGCAGCUGGAAACAACCAGAUGUUUUCCAACUGGCAGGCGGAGGAGCGAACUGUGUCCACCUGCAAAGUGGGGCGUUGUGUAGCCGU